rnacentral:rRNA from 1 species
CCUACGGGGGGCUGCAGUGGGGAAUAUUGCACAAUGGGCGCAAGCCUGAUGCAGCCAUGCCGCGUGUGUGAAGAAGGCCUUCGGGUUGUAAAGCACUUUCAGCGGGGAGGAAGGCGUUAAGGUUAAUAACCUUGGCGAUUGACGUUACCCGCAGAAGAAGCACCGGCUAACUCCGUGCCAGCAGCCGCGGUAAUACGGAGGGUGCAAGCGUUAAUCGGAAUUACUGAGCGUAAAGCGCACGCAGGCGGUCUGUCAAGUCGGAUGUGAAAUCCCCGGGCUCAACCUGGGAACUGCAUUCGAAACUGGCAGGCUAGAGUCUUGUAGAGGGGGGUAGAAUUCCAGGUGUAGCGGUGAAAUGCGUAGAGAUCUGGAGGAAUACCGGUGGCGAAGGCGGCCCCCUGGACAAAGACUGACGCUCAGGUGCGAAAGCGUGGGGAGCAAACAGGAUUAGAUACCCCGGUAGUC